rnacentral:lncRNA from 1 species
GAAAAUCUGUUAUGAAAGCCAUGUAAACCUUUAAAUGAAAAUGUUGUGUUAAGUAUGAAAUCCCUAGAAAAACCCUUAUUUUCUAUAAGUAUGAAAUGUAGUCUUCUAUCAAGACCCGNAAGCCAUGUAAACCUUUAAAUGAAAAUGUUGUGUUAAGUAUGAAAUCCCUAGAAAAACCCUUAUUUUCUAUAAGUAUGAAAUGUAGUCUUCUACCAAGACCCGAAUGUUCUGUACGUAUGAAGUGUAGUCUUCUACCAAGACCCGAAUGUUUUGUAAGUAUGAAGUGUAGUCUUCUACCAAGACCCGAAUGUUUUGUUAUGACUAUGUAAAAUGAUAGUUUUUCCUUUCUAUUGACUAGUACCAAAGUACUUGGUCUAACUCCUCGUUUAUGUGAAAGAUAUCACAAAAUAAAGUAAACAGGAAAAAUAUAAUCAUGUAAGUGUUAGCCGGAGGUACUGGUGCUAACAAGACGAAUGUAAAUGUUGACCCGAGGUACUAGGGCUAACAUAUUACAUAUAACCUAAUGGACAUCCGAAGAUUGUCCAAUUGUCCUCUGUAGCAGCAGCAGGUGGAAGGAAGGGUUAGUCCCUGUAAAGGUACUCCUAGUAUAAGUAAUAACCGUAGGCAUCCGUAGAUGUUCAUUACCCACUGUUGCUAACAGAUGGGUUCCGGAAUGGUUAGUCCCGUACAUAUAUCCCGAGGUACUGUGGGAUAGAGGCCCAUCUAGGUAUCCCGAGGUACUAUGGGAUAGGGUCCUGUCUUAGAUAUUCCGAGGUACUGUGGAAUAGGCAGGAAGAUUUACACAGAAGGUACUAAUAAAUCAUCCUCGCAAUUCAAGAUACAAGUAAUCCUGUUAAUGUACACAGAUAAGUGUAUCUACGUAAAGGUACUCAUGUAAUGCGUUCAUGUAAACGUGUUCAUGUAUCAUGUAAGUAUAUGUAAAGGUACUCAUGUAUUAGGUAAACAUCUGUAAGUACUCAUGUAUCAGGUAAUGUACUAGUAUAGACUCAUGAAUGAACUGACUCUUGUGUGACUCCUUGUAAUAGAAGUAAUGUUUGAUAUCUUCAAAUUAUCCCUAUGAUAAUCUACUGUAAUAUAACUAGUUGACCAUGUAAGUUUACCCACUCUUACUACUCAAGGGUAUGGGAAACUAAAUGAAAGAUGCAAACUAUGACAUCAAUACAUAUAUAAGAAUAUAAGUGUAUAUGCAUAGUUUAGUUCAAGAAUGAAAAAUGGUUUUUGUAAGACAUCUUAUGGGGCUUUGAACAAUAAUCAACAAUGACUUGAUGUCAUUUUAAUAAACAUUUCAGAAGUAAAACAUUUGAUAACAAUGUGCUUUUAAGAUGUAAAACCAUUUCAUGCAUCACAUUUUGUAGCAUGUGAAAUCUGUUAAAUGACAAACACAGUUAUAAAAUACAUAUCAAUGAUUUAAUAACAUUUUUGUUUGUACUUGUAUCCCCCCCCCCAUUAAAGCCUUUAAAAUCAUUUAAAACAUUGAUUAGGGGUAUGAACUCACCUGUAGUUGGUGAUUGGAAUUAACUGAACGGUAUCAGAUUGUUAGGUGUCAAGCGAGGACUUGUGCACACACUACGAUCCUAAUGAACAUAUAAUCACACAUAUAUGCACUCAAUUAGAAUUAAAAGACUAAUUGAUAAUGUUUAAGACAUCCUAGACACAGAUAAAACUUUAAAUAAGUGUUUUAAGCCGUAAGGACUUCAUCUAAGCAGUUGUGGGACAGGGUACUUGUGUUUAGGGUUUCCAAAGUACCCUAUAUGAGAGUUUACUCUCCUUAGACCAUCACACAUGGAGUUUACGGUUGUAAACUCUUGAGUUUACGGCCGUAAACUCCCAAACAUGUGUGUUUGGUGUGUUUUGAAGUCCAAUAUGCUUUCUAGAAUUAUUCUAACCUAGUGGCUAUGUUCUUGGAAGGGUUUAAGGCCUAGAAGUACUCCGAAUAGGAGUUUACGGACUCAAGGCCAUUUCCCCUUGGAGUUUAUGGCCGUAAACUCCCUUGGGGUGUUUCCUUUGUUGCUUUCAAGCCUCUUGUACUAGUGGGAUGCAUUCUAGACUUUUAAUCCUAGCAUGUGAAGGCAUUAGGCACCACUUAGUGCCCUUUUUAGGAGUUUACGGCCCAAGAACCAUGUAUUGGCCGUAAACUCACUUGGUUAGGUGAUUUUUGUGUGGUUUGGUCCUUCCAUUUAGUGGGUACAUUUUCUUGUAAAGGUCUAGGCCCUUAGGUGUCAUGAAAACACCCUUUGUGACCAUUUACAUGGAGUUUACGGCCUAGGAGAGUUCUGGGCCGUAAACUCACUUUCAUUUGUGUCAUUUGAUGUGUUUAAGACCUUAAGCUACUUGGGGAAAUAACCUAGAUGCAAGCCUUAAAGUCCUUAAGUCCUCAAAUCACCAUUUAAGGCUAUGAUAUGGAGUUUACGGCCUAAGAGAGUUCUGGGCCGUAAACUCCCAAUCUUGGGUGGUUUUGUGUGUGAUUUCAUGUCCCUAAUGUGUUUACCUAAUGUCCUAAGGCCUUAUUCUAGCAUCAAUGUCGGUUUUGGCCUUGUUUCGGGAGUUUACCGCCCAAGAACACCUUGGGGAGUAAACUCCUAGAUCUCAUGAUUUAGCCCACUAAAUCAUGUUAUAAGCAUCAAAUAUGUAAUCUAACACUACUAGAAAGAGUUACUCACAAUCUGGGAUAAAAACCCGAAGAUCUGUCAGAGAGAAAAUGGCUUUUCUCUAGCUGGAAUUGUGAAUAAUGAAUUAAUUUAAUUCAGAAAACUAUUUAUAGUCCUGAAAUAUUUUGGCAGAAAAUAUUUUUAUUCUCGAACUUGGACUGUAACAUUAUGAAACUUGAAAUGUUCAAAUUUCACAAACUCAGGAGCAUCCACUCUCCUGAUAUCUCCUAAAGUGUAAACCCUAAUGUACACUAACUUGUUCGGAAAAGUCUGAAAAUCACUGAAAUUGGACUGACUUCUAUUGAAUAGAUAUUGUUCGUACAAAUGGAAAUUUCGGGUUGUCACAUCAUCCCCCCGUUAGAAGGAAUUUCGUCUCGAAAUUAGAAUUUAAGCAAGUAAGAAAUUACAAAUAACUAAGCAAAAAGGUGAGGGUAUUUUAGUUUCAUUUGAUCCUCAUGUUCCUAAGUGAAUUCCGGUCCACGUUUUGCGUUCCAGCACACCUUCACUGUCGGGAUACGACUCUGCUUUGUUUGCUUGACCUCUCGGUCCAUGAUCUCUACUGGUUCCUCCACGAAGUUGAGGCUCUCGUUGAUCUCGAUCUCGUCGAGUGGAAUAACAAGAGUCUCGUCGGAUAGGCACUUUUUCAAGUUUGACACGUGGAAGGUAGGAUGUACGUUACUGAGUUCUUUCGGUAGAUUGAGCUUGUAAGCCACAGGGCCGAUUCUUGCGAGAAUCUCGAAAGGCCCUAUGUAUCUUGGAUUGAGCUUCCCACGCUUUCCAAAGCGUAUCAAGCCCUUCCAGGGUGAGACUUUCAGUAGGACUCGGUCGCCCACCUGGAACUCCAAUGGUUUCCUACGCUUGUCGGCGUAGCUUUUCUGUCGGUCUCUAGAGGCUUUUAAUCGUUCACGAAUUUGAACGAUCUUCUCUGUCGUUUCCCGAAUGAUCUCCGGACCCGUGAGAGUGCUUUCGGGAACUCGUCCCUUAGCUAACUGGGUAUCACCCACUUCAGCCCAGCACAGAGGGGAUCUGCACUUUCGGCCAUAGAGGGCCUCGAAUGGAGCUGCUUUGAUGCUCGUGUGAUAACUGUUGUUGUAGGAAAAUUACACAAGGGGUAAAUGGGUAUCCCAAGCGUUUCCAAAGUCUAUCACACAGGCGCGCAACAUAUCUUCUAAGGUUUGGAUAGUUCUCUCACUUUGCCCGUCGGUCUGUGGAUGGUAGGCUGUACUCAUGUCCAGCCUAGUUCCUAGGGAACUUUGUAAUGACUGCCAGAACCUCGAAGUGAAUCUACUAUCUCGGUCUGAGAUGAUAGAUAAAGGAACAUCGUGCAGUCUUACAAUCUCCCUAAUGUAAGUUCUGGUAAGUUUCUCCAUUUUGUCUGUUUCCUUGAUCGGAAGGAAGUGUGCAGACUUGGUCAGUCUAUCGACGAUGAACCAUACGGAAUCAAGUCCACCCGUCGUCUUGGGCAACUUGGUUAUGAAGUCCAUAGUGAUCCGCUCCCACUUCCAUUCUGGUAUCUCCGGUUGUUGUAGAAGACCGGAGGGUUUCUGGUAUUCGACCUUGACCUUUGCGCAAGUAAGGCAUUUACUCACGAAGGUAGCAAUAUCUGCUUUCAUGUUAGGCCACCAGUAUAACUUUUUAAGAUCCAGAUACAUCUUAUCUGAACCCGGGUGGACGGAAUAACGAGUGCUGUGAGCUUUUGUCAUGACCAAGUCUCUGAAGCCACCGUGUUUCGGUGUCCAGAUCUGAUCCAUGAGGUACAAGGCUCCGCCACCCUUGACUUCCAAGUUCUUAUCCAUCCCUCUAAGGGAUUCACCCGCCACAUUCUCCGGUUUCAAAGCGUCGAGCUGAUCCUCCUUUAUUUGUGUGGACAAGUGCGAAUGGAUGGUUAGAGUCAAAGAUUUGACUCUACGACCAGUAUAAUCUUUCCGACUUAGGGCGUCGGCUACUACAUUGGCUUUACCCGGAUGAUAACGAAUUUCGCAUUCGUAAUCACUAAGUAGCUCGACCCACCGUCGUUGUCUCAUGUUGAGCUCUUUCUGGUCGAAAAUGUGUUGUAGACUCUUAUGGUCUGUAAAGAUCGUGCUUUUGGUACCGUAUAGGUAAUGUCGCCAGAUCUUCAGAGCAAACACAACUGCUCCUAGCUCGAGAUCGUGGGUUGUGUAGUUAACCUCAUGUGUCUUCAGCUGUCUCGAGGCAUAGGCGAUGACUUUACCUCGCUGCAUCAGAACACAUCCGAGUCCUUGAUUGGAUGCAUCGCAAUAGACAAUGAAGUCUUCUAUUCCUUCGGGAAGGGAUAGUAUCGGGGCGGUGCACAAGGCUCGUUUGAGCGUUUGGAACGCUCUUUCCUGUUUCUCUUCCCAGUCGAAGGCCACGCCUUUCUGGGUCAGGGUUGUAAGAGGUUUCGCUAUGCUGGAGAAGUUCUGAAUGAACCUGCGAUAGUAGCCAGCUAGACCUAGAAAUUGACGAAUUUCAGUAGGUGUCUUUGGUGCUGACCAGUUCUCGAUGGCCUUAAUUUUGGAAGGGUCCACGUGUAUACCUUCUUCGCUAACCACAUGGCCCAAAAAUUCGACUCGCCGAAUCCAAAAUUCGCACUUCGAGAACUUUGCGUAGAGCUUCUCCGCUCGCAAUGUUUCUAAGAUUUUACGGAGAUGUUGACCAUGCUCCUCCUUACUUCGAGAGUAGAUGAGUAUGUCAUCAAUGAAGACGAUGACGAACUGAUCCAAGUAAGGACGACACACCCUAUUCAUCAGAUCCAUGAAUACUGCGGGCGCGUUAGUUAAUCCGAAUGGCAUCACUACAAACUCGUAGUGCCCAUAACGAGUUCGGAAGGCUGUCUUGGGAACAUCUUCCUCUAACACUCGUAGUUGGUGGUAUCCGGAUCGCAGAUCUAUCUUCGAGAAGUAGUUGGCUCCUUGAAGUUGAUCAAAUAAAUCGUCAAUACGGGGCAAGGGAUAACGAUUUUUAAUGGUAAGUUUGUUGAGUUCUCUAUAGUCGAUGCACAUGCGAAACGAUCCAUCUUUCUUCUUGACGAACAAGACCGGUGCUCCCCAUGGUGAGAAGCUUGGUCGAAUGAAUCCCUUCUUGAGAAGUUCGUUAAGUUGACUGGAAAGUUCCUGCAUUUCAGCCGGUGCAAGACGAUAAGGAGAUUUGGCUACGGGGGUAGCCCCUGGCACUAAGUCGAUUCUGAACUCGACUUGGCGUUGUGGUGGUAAACCGGGAAGUUCUUCUGGGAAUAUGUCGGGAAAGUCGCGUACUUCUGGGAUUUUCUGGAUGUCUUUCUGUUCUUGGCUGGUAUCGACGACGUGUGCGAGAAAUGCAUGGUACUCCUUCCGCAAACACUUUUGUGCUUGAAUGCACGAAAUGAUGCGAAGGCUAGUACUAGGUUUGUCGCCGUAGAUAGUUAAGGUUUCGUUGUUAGGAAGGUUAAGACGGACUGCUUUUUCGAAGCACAUAAUGUCGGCACGCAGAAGACUCAACCAAUCCAUACCGAUGAUGACGUCGAAACAUUUAAUGGUAACUGGCAUGAGAUCUAUCUUGAAAGUAUGGCUAUCUAAAGUUAAAGUACAACCUAUGUAUAUGCAGUUUGUACUCUCUGUUUUCCCGUUAGCCAUUUCUACCGUGAAUGAACUAUCUAAUGCACAUGGUUUUUGUUUAAGCAGGUGUGCAAAUUUGUGACUUACAAAACUUUUCUCGGCUCCACUAUCGAAAAGUAUGCAAGCAUAAGAGUUAUCGAGGAGGAACGUACCAGUAACUAUCGUUGGAUCAGCUACUGCUUCCUCAUGGCCUAAGGCCAUAACUCUUCCCACUCCGCCAGCCAUCCCCGCUUUAGGGCAGUUCCUCCUGUAAUGGCCCACCUCGCCACAUCCGUAGCAAGUUUGGCCCAUCCCGGUGUUUGGGACCUGGGCGGCUUGAGUUGUUGGAGCCUUGCAGUAACGGGCGGUAUGCCCCUUCCUGUUGCAGUUAGAGCACUGCAUCUCCUUGCAAGGUCCGUGGUGGUGGUAGUUGCACUUGGUGCACUUUGGAAGAGUUCCAGCAUAAGUUUUUGCUGGAAAGGGGUUCGCAGGGACUACAGGAGUCACUGUGGCAGCAUUGAUCGCCACAUGCUGUUGUUUAUUGGAGGAUCCUUGCGGAGCCCCUCUUUUCCUUUUGUUCCACCCCUUCUUAACGUAGUCGGGGUUGGUCUUCUGUGGUACAGGUGUAGGGAUUGACGUGAUCUGGGGUUUCCUGUGAUCGAUGAGGGAUUGUGCUAGUUCCUUGGCGCUAUCGAAGGUAAUAGGCCUGGAAGCGAUCACACUUGACUGGAUCUGGGGCGACAGUCCCCAGAUAUACCUCUCGAUCUUUUUGCUCUGGAGAGCAACCAUGUCGGGGCAUAAGUUUGCCAAAUCACAAAACCUAUUUGUGUAGGUAGUGAUGUCGGAUCCAACCAUUUGUAGACCCCAGAAUUCUUGCUCGAGCUUUUGUAUUUCACCUCGAGGACAGUAUUCCUUCAUCAGCAUUUCUUUCAACUUUUCCCAGCCAAUGGAAUACGCCACCACCAGAGUUAGAUAGUUAACAUGGCUGUUCCACCAUGUUAGUGCUCGGUCAGAGAAGGUACAAGCUGCGAACUUGACCUUGCUGCCCUCCUGACAAGCACAGAUUUCAAAGACAGAUUCCAUCUUUUCAAUCCAUUGUCUCAACACCAUAACACCCCCAGUCCCAUUGAAGCUGCGGGGUUUGGCGUUAGUAAAGUCCUUGUAGGUGCAUUCCCGAGGGUGUCCAUGGCUUUCGCCGUGGUUUGAGGGUGGUGCACCUGUUCCUGACCCACUAGGGGCAGGAGCGUUGAUUGCUGACACAGCAGCUGCAACUGUUGUUGUGAAAGCUUCCUGGAACAUUGUGGCAUCAAAAGGAUUUGGUGUUUGAAGAGGUACAGGUGGUGGUGGAGGUGGUGGUAUUGGUGCUCGUUGUUUGGGUUCCUCCUAGGAUUCCUGCGCGGCGGCAUCGUUAACUAUACGUUUAAAAGAUGACGACAUGGAUAAGAAUAAAUGAUAAAUGAAUGUGUCUCAUGGACUAAAUCCCCAUAGCCCAACAACAGAAAGAAUAGUAUGACUAAAUGAAGAAGAUAGCAUUUGGAUAAUAAUUUCCAUAAGAUUAGAUAUCUGUCAAUAAUACUGGAAUUACAGAUGUAACAAGUUCGGGAAAAAUGGCCUAGAAGUAGGCCUUACAUCAACCAAGAUGGAAAAUUUUGACAGACUUAAGAUUAGAUAAAGACCUAACAGGUCUAAGAUUUAUACAGACAGGAAAUUAGACCAAAGUUUUACAUAAACUAGGUUAUAUCCAAAAGAUGAGAUGACGAUAUUCUAUCGGCGACGAGAACUACUAGCAUGAGUCCUCGUUCCCGUCAGUAGGCGUUCGAUGUCCCUCAUACGCCUGUCCGACCUUGCUUGUUGAGCUCGAAGUUCUCUAACUUCAGCUCGGGUUUCAGCAAGUUCCCUUUGCAGAUUUGCAUUGCGGACCAGAGUCCUUUCAUGAGCAGACUCUAGUUGGCGAAUGUGGACAGUGUUAACACCAGAGUUGGCGUCAACUUCCAAAACUUGAUUGAUAGUCGCCUGAGCCAUUAUCGUGUUCCGAGAAAUCCUACGCACCAUGAUUGGUAGGACUCUAUCAGCAGAACCUCCUUCAGUGAGGUUGUAGAAACUUCGGUCGCCAUUGUAGGGAAUGGGCUGACCUUGUUCCUGACUCCAUUCAGUCAAGUUAAUGGCCCACAAGGGUGUGGGUCCUUGAAACACAGGGCGAGGGUUCAGGUUUGGGUUUUGAGCAGCUGGGGGUAGGUUGUUGACUUCUGGCUCCGAGUCAGAACUAUCGGAAAAGCCCUCAGCAUGGUGAUCAUCCAAAGGGAUUGGGUGAUCAUCUUCUGGCUCUGCCUCUAGCCAACCAGCAUUGCCUUGGUUCGGAAAGUACGGAUCGCCGUGGUGAAAUCCAGCCAUCUUAAUCUACGCGAGAAAAGGGAUAUAAGAAAUAGCUAAAAUAGACGAACUAACUAAGAUAAUUACAGUAAGACCAAAUACCCAUAUGGUAUUUCUUUAUGGUUGUGUUGGUAAGUUUUUAGACUUGUUGCCAUAUCACAACCAUUCUUGGGCAUAUUCUAAUCACUCCUCGGACCAGCAUAGUUGAUCAGGCUAUGCCAUUCCCAAGACUGACUAUAUAUCCCCAGGCUUACUUGUGAUAUUCAACAAUCGUAAUACUUUUGUUCUUGUCGUUGUGACACUGAUUUUAGUAUGAAUGCAGGCACGUAUACUUUGUUAAAUAUUUUAUUAUUUAAAAGUAUAACUCUUAGACAGAGUGUUUUAAUCCCAUGUAUUUAUAGUUAGUAUAUCUUUUAUGGGUUGAUAUACUAUAUUCACUAUAAACAAUGCUCUGAUACCAAUCUGUCACACCCCAAAACCACGAACGGCGGAAACGUUCAGGGGUGGAGGACGUCAUGUACAGUAUCACAACAGUGUAAUAUAAUAAACAAGCAACAACAUCAUCCAUUGCAUUAUAAGUAAAGUUUUAUACAUGUGUGUUCUUUCAUUGUAAUAAGACACCAAAAAUAUACAAUCAAAAUAAAAGACGAGACUUGACUGCUCCGUCUUCUCAAAACCUGUCCUCCGUACCUGUCUACUGGCGACCUGAGAACACAAGUUAUUUUGAAAGAGAGUAUCAGCUUUAAAGCUGGUGAGUUCAUAAGUAUAUAAGUGUCAUUGCUUUGUUUGUGAAAAUCUGCUAUGAAUGCCAUGUAAACCUUUAAGUGAAAAUGUUGAGGUAAGUAUGAAAUCCCUAGAAAAACCCUUAUUUUCUAUAAGUAUGAAGUGUAGUCUUCUACCAAGACCCGAAUGUUCUGUAAGUAUGAAGUGUAGUCUUCUACCAAGACCCGAAUGUUUUGUAAGUAUGAAGUGUAGUCUUCUACCAAGACCCAAUGUUCUGUAAGUAUGAAAUGUAGUCUUCUACCAAGACUCGAAUGUUUUGUAAGUAUGAAGUGUAGUCUUCUACCAAGACUCGAAUGUUUUGUAUGUAUGAAGUGUAGUCUUCUACCAAGACUCGAAUGUUUUGUAUGUAUGAAGUGUAGUCUUCUACCAAGACACGAAUGUUUUGUAUGUAUGAAGUGUAGUCUUCUACCAAGACUCGAAUGUUUUGUAUGAAUGAAGUGUAGUCUUCUACCAAGACUCGAAUGUUUUGUAUGAAUGAAGUGUAGUCUUCUACCAAGACUCGAAUGUUUUGUAUGAAUGAAGUGUAGUCUUCUACCAAGACUCGAAUGUUUUGUAUGAAUGAAGUGUAGUCUUCUACCAAGACUCGAAUGUUUUGUAUGAAUGAAGUGUAGUCUUCUACCAAGACUCGAAUGUUUUGUAUGAAUGAAGUGUAGUCUUCUACCAAGACUCGAAUGUUUUGUAUGUAAAAUGAUAGUUUUUCCUUUCUAUUGACUAGUACUAGAGCACUUAGUCUAACUCCUCGUUUAUGUGAAAGUAAUCACAAAAUAAAGUAAACAGGGAAAAUAUAAUCAUGUAAGUGUUAUUGUCUUGGAUUACCAGGACAAACACGACAUCGCUGAAGCGAAAGAUAGACCCUAUGGAACAUCCGAAGAGUGUCCCCUCAUCCUCUGUAGCAGCAGCAGGAUGGAAGGAGGGUUAGUCCCUGUAUCGAUCUCUUGAUGCAGAUCGUCAACCUAAUGAUCCUCCGAAGAUUCACAUCUCAUCCACUGUUGCAACAGUGGACAGAGGGAUAGUUAGUCCCGUCACUGACUACUAAUCAAGUGACUACCUUAGACAUCCGUAGACGUCAUCGACCACUGGUGCUAAUCAGUGAGAUUCGGAAUGGUAAGUCCCGCCGAAACAUCCCAUUGAACGGGGAUAGGAAAGACAAUUUACACAGUAAAUACUAAUAAAUCAUCCUCUUAGAUCUAAGUUCAAGUAUCCAAGGUAAGUAAAUACAGGAUAAUGCACCUAUGAAGAAGUGUCCCUGUAUGGUAUUCAUGUAAGUGUGUUCAUGUAACAGGUAAGUAUAUGUAAACAUAUUCAUGUAUCAUAUAAUCCUAAGUACGUGUACUCAUGUAUCAUGUAAGGCAUUAGUAUAGACUCAUGAAUGAACUGACUCUUGUUUGAUAUCUUCUGACUAUCCCUAUGAUAGCUAACUGGAAAGUAUGUGGUUGUUCAAGUAGGUUUAUGCACCCUCGCAACGCCAGGGUGCGGGAAACUGAACGAAGGAUGAAAACUAUAAUCUCUAACAUAUAAAUGAACAUAUACGUAUAAGUAUAGUUUGAUUCAAAAAGGUAAAAUAUACUGGUUUUGCAAGAUAUCUAGGAGUUUUGAACAAUAAUUUAAAGUGACUUGAAGUCAUUAUACAUUUCAAAACUAAUACUUCUGUUGUCCAAGUAUUUUAAGAUAGAAAACCAUUUCAUGUGACUCCUUUUGAAAUAUGUGAAAUCUACUGAGUGAAAACACAGUUAUAAAAUACAUAAAAUUGAUUUAAUAACUUAUUGUUUUCUACUUGUUUUCCCCCCCCCCAUUAAAGCAUUUAAAAUCCUUUAAAACAUUGAUUAAGGGGUAUGAACUCACCUGUAGUUGGUGAUUGGAAUGAACUGAACGGUAUCGGAUUGCUAGGUGUCAAGCGAGGACUUGUGCACACACUACGAUCCUAAUGAACAUAUAAUCACACAUAUAUGCACUCAAUUAGACUUAAAAGACUA